GUCUCCAGCAGCUGUGUAUGGAAGUCCAAGGAUCUAGCAGUUGUUCAGUCCCACAAGGCAGGCAGGUGAAGAAAAGAGAGAUAACCUUCCUUCUUCCAAUGUCCUUAUGUAGGUCUCCAGCAGAAGGUGUGGCCCAGAUUAAAGGUAAGUACCACCACACCUGGGUCUGGGACUUCCUUUGUCCCAGAUGACCUUGAACUCAGCGAUCUCCUUGUCUUAGUCUUCUGGGAUUCAUAGCCACUAUGUCUCAAGAUCUCCAUGCCAAGAUCCAGGCCAGAAACUUAAUAUCUCCCAGCCUCAAGAUCAGGAUCACAGAUGAGCCUUCCAAUUCUGGAUUAUAGUUCAUACAGAAAUAGUCAAGUUGACAAACAGGAAUAGCCACUACAGCUAUUGUCCUAACAUUAACCAAUAGAAUUCUUAUAAAUUAGUCUAGCUCUAAUAAAAACAUUCCAUUAUACGAUCUACUUUUAUAACUACAAGUUCAUUUUCUUUGGUUGCCUUUUAACUAUAAACUUGAGUGUUUCUCAUGCUAAACCUAUGGUCAACUCUCAUAUUCACAUUUCCUUUGUCCUUUUUAAAAAUUUUUUGAAAGAUUUAUUUAUUUAUUGUAUGUAAGUACACUGUUGCUGUCUUCAGACACACCAGAAGAGGGCAUCUGAAAUCAUUACUGAUGGUUGUGAGCAAUCACCAUGUGGUUGCUGGGAAUUGAACUCAGGACCUCUGGAAGAGCAGUCAGUGCUCCUAACCACUGAGCCAUCUCUCUGGCCCUUCUUUGUCUUUUAAAUGUAAACUUAAAAAUGUUUCUCACUAUGCUAUUCAGUCUCCUGGACAGAAGAAAAAGGCCAUGCUUGCUCCUUCUGCUCCACAAAAGGACGGCUCCAGAGAAGCAACCCACAGAUGCUCCAAUCUACUCUCACAGACACUGAUACUUCUACUGGACCUGAUCCUUCCUUCCCACAGAUAGUUCCACAGACAUUGAACAACAAGAAAAGCCAACUCUCCUAAUACUGGAACAACAUCCCCAUAACCAAUUUUCUUACAUUAUGUUUCUUACGUUGCCCCAAAGUAAGCAGGAAACAGCUAAACAGCCAGGUGUGCCUGACUCACAAUAAAAGGUGCUGUUUGCCCCCUCCUCGCCCUCUAACUUUUUUUUUAUAAAUCUGUUUUUUUAUUUUUUAAAGAUUUAUUUCUUUAUUAUAUAUAAGUAUACUGUAACUGUCUUC
ensembl:lncRNA